GUGCUCACUUAGGCAGCACAUACACUAAAAUUGGAAUGAUGUGGAGAUUAGCAUGGCCCUCCGCGCAAGGAUGACAUGCAGAGUCACAAAGCGUUCCUUAUUUUU
rnacentral:snRNA from 1 species